GUAGGUGAACCUGCGGAAGGAUCAUUACUAGAGCAACGGAGAGACGUAAAGGUAAAACUGUACGUCGUGGCCCCAUCUGUAAAAAGAUAGGGCCCUCUGGAACUCCACCCUUGAAUAAAUUACCUUUGUUGCUUUGGCAGGCCGCCUCGUGCCGGCGGCUUCGGCUGUUGAGUGCCUGCCAGAGGACCACAACUCUUGUUUUUAGUGAUGUCUGAGUACUAUAUAAUAGUUAAAACUUUCAACAACGGAUCUCUUGGUUCUG
rnacentral:misc_RNA from 1 species